rnacentral:rRNA from 1 species
AGUGAACGCUGGCGGUAGGCCUAACACAUGCAAGUCGAACGGCAGCACAGUAAGAGCUUGCUCUUACGGGUGGCGAGUGGCGGACGGGUGAGGAAUACAUCGGAAUCUACUUUUUCGUGGGGGAUAACGUAGGGAAACUUACGCUAAUACCGCAUACGACCUACGGGUGAAAGCAGGGGAUCUUCGGACCUUGCGCGAUUGAAUGAGCCGAUGUCGGAUUAGCUAGUUGGCGGGGUAAAGGCCCACCAAGGCGACGAUCCGUAGCUGGUCUGAGAGGAUGAUCAGCCACACUGGAACUGAGACACGGUCCAGACUCCUACGGGAGGCAGCAGUGGGGAAUAUUGGACAAUGGGCGCAAGCCCGAUCCAGCCAUACCGCGUGGGUGAAGAAGGCCUUCGGGUUGUAAAGCCCUUUUGUUGGGAAAAAAAAGCAGCAGGUUAAUACCCCGCUGUUCUGACGGUACCCAAAGAAUAAGCACCGGCUAACUUCGUG